rnacentral:rRNA from 1 species
UACGGAGGGUGCGAGCGUUGUCCGGAAUCAUUGGGCGUAAAGGGCGCGUAGGUGGCGGGACAAGCGUGCGGUGAAAGCUCGGGGCUCAACCCCGAGUCGGCCGUGCGAACUGUUUUGCUUGAGCACUGUAGAGGCAGGCGGAAUUCCGGGUGUAGCGGUGGAAUGCGUAGAGAUCCGGAAGAACACCGGUGGCGAAGGCAGCCUGCUGGGCAGUAGCUGACACUGAGGCGCGACAGCGUGGGGAGCAAACAGG